GCCACCAUAGCCCCUGUCGCUUGCCCAAGGUGGAGCUAGACUCUUGUGCGUGUGACAGCGGCUAUUGGC